UUUUUUUUUUUUUUUUUUUUUUUUUUUUUUUUCCUGGAAAGGGACAUUUUCUCUUUAUUUUCUUUACAUUAGUUUUCAUCACCUGCAUUUUCCUUUUGUUAGUAAAGAGAGAAGACGAGCUGAUAGGAAUUUAGAGCAGAGGGUGAAGUGGAAAAUGAAGUAUUUUCACUAGCUGCAACUCACUUUGAAAUAUGGUUUGUAACAUUAAAAGCAUCCGUGUGUACAGAAGAACAGUGAAUGAUUUUGUCUUUUCUGUUCUUUGGCACUGACCUGCUAUAGCUCCUUUCAAACCCAGUUUUUUAAAGACCGAAGACUGGCUUUUAGAAUGGCUUUUGAUGCACAGGCAUAGGCACCUGUGCUGUGCUGGGAGGUGCUGGUUUGUUAUGACCCUGGUAAGAAAGGUACUCAGGCUCCGCAAAGAAUCACUUCAGAUGCCAUUUGGUGGAUCCAACAGUAUAAAGGCAGUAGCAUAAAUAAUCUUGUCUGCUGUAAGCUGCCAGGGAUGCUGAGCUGUGUGUGCAGUGUGGAGCUCCAGUCCAGGUGCAGGACUCCAGGCAGACCCUCUCUGCAGUGCCACCUCGUUUUAGUAAUUUCAGCUCUUACAGGGGGUUCUUAAAAGAAAACAACUCAUUCAUCAUUUCCAAUGCCAAACAGAGAGAGGAUGUUCAUGUGAGAUCUUGUUGGUGCACAGUGAGAUAAAGGCAAGGCCACACAGGUGUGUAAUGACUGGUGCAGAAUGGGAGCUGCCUCUGGGGUCCCCAUUAUCAUCCCAUAAUGUUACUUGGCUGAGUCUGCCCUGCGCCAAGGGAGAGAUGCAGCACAACACAGGCCUGAAAUACGUCUGCACCCCUCGUCCAUGGCUUUGUCAAAAGGUUCUCAUUUAAAAUAAGUGUCUUAAUUAUAUUCCAGCAGAUGCAUCGCUCUCUGCACUGUCAUGUGUUGGCUAAUACUCCAUUAAGCUCUGUAGUGGGUUCUUGUGGUGGAUAAGCUGAAGUUUCAUCUGUUCCUUAGAAAGAGUAUAUAAUUGUUAAUAUGUUUAUUUUCUCUGCAAAAUCAAACAAUUUAGUAUGCAAAAGAUAGUAUUUAUCAUUUAUUUCUUGAAACAAAAUCAGGGAUGAAAAAUACUGACAUAAAACAAUCUAAAAUUUCAGAUUUUUUAAUCCUAUAAAAUUUCAAUACAUUGAAAGUCACAGAUUUAUAAUAGAUUCAAAUUCUUCUGAAUAACUGUCAAAAACUAUUGAACUUGUUAUUGAGGUAGUUUGACAUGAUAUUUCUUGUGUUCAGUUGCUCUUUUUGUACAAUUUCUUAAAAAGAGAUUUUUGAAAGGGGAAGAGAACAAAAGAGGAUGAGGGAGUAAGGUGAGGGAGGUAGAAAGGGGGAAAGAAAAGACAAAAGGAGAAAAGAAAAAGUAUUCUAGCUGUAACAAUUCCGGUUUCCCUUGCUGGCCUACAGUGCCUAGUUUAAUUUUCUUCAAACAAAAAAAAAUGGUAGAAGAAUUGCCAUGCUGAGCUGAGGACACAUCUUUUUGACUUUAAUCAUCUUCAGCACGUUAUGUCUGUAACUGCUUGUACCUGCUGCUCAGUAAUUGCAUUAUUCAGAUCUGAACUUUAAGUCUGACUUUCCUUCCAAAGUUUGUCAGAAACUAUCACAUUCAGAAUUUCAAGUAAAAUUUUUUUUUGCUAAAAUGUCAAUUAAAAUUACUGGCCCAAUUUCUAAGCAAAAAUAUGAAGUGUUAACUUUUUUGCUUUAUAUAGAACCAUUACAAGAAGAACAAACUUAGAAUGAUUUACAGAAGUGAUUGACCUCAUUUAUUAAUUGAUUCCACUUAUUUGUCCCCACCUCUUUCCCCAGCUAUCAGGAGUAUUUCCUUCACUUCUCACACUCAUGGAAUUUUCUAAAUAGCCUACAAGCUUUUUCUUCUCUAGUUUGUCCUAAAUGCUUACUUGUUUCACAGUGUUCUUGGGGCCAUAGUUCAGCAAUAGUGACAUUCAGGCGGAUAUUAUUCCCAUCUGAGUAAGGGUAAAAUUUUAUUUUCUUACCUCUCACCUGGCUUGUUCAUUGGUGUGUGACUUGUUGUUCAGUUCCUUAAAUAGCUCAAGGCAGCAUAAAUGAAGGUCAACAAACUAUAGGCUUGUGUAUGAACAUUGGUGAUACCAGAGCCCAAAUUGUGGUUGGUUUAAAACACAGAAAGUUUAAUGUUCAGGAAUCAAGGUUAAAUUCUCCUUCAUACAUUUUUUUAUAAGACGUUAUAAUCUCUUGACUUCUCUUCCUUAUUUUGGAUAAUUUUGAUCUCCGAUCAAAGAAAUAAAAUGAUCUGUGAUUGGUAUUUCUUGUGCCUGGCACAUACAUUAUGGCAUCCUGGCAAAAAGGGUUUGCCUUUUCUAAAAACUACUGGCUACAACAGAAACCUAAGUAUGUCAGGUUCAUAGCAGGAGCUCUGUAAAGCUCUGUGCAAUUAGUGGAGGCAUAAAAAAGUUAAAACUAGAUGGUCUAACAGUUUUUGAAGUAAGGUCAGUUCUUUCCUAAAAUUUUUCUUUCUUGUCCUUUCAUAUUUUGAAUUGCAGAAAUUAUGGGGAUGGGGAGGCAGGGCAUCUGAAAGCCUUCUUCACUUUUAAAAGAUUAAAGAAUCCUCCACCUGCACUGCUCCUUGUGAUGCCAGUAGAAUUCUUAUAUUUGGGGCAAAGAUAGAGCUGUGGCCCAAAGGCUUGGAAGUUUUAGAAAAAUACAGACUUCUUACUUGCUCAUUAAGCAUUUUCUUUUCUUAUCUACAAAUAUAUGCAGAUAAGCUGCUAAUUAUGUGGACCCAUCUGUUAUAUUUAAAGUGUGAUAAAUGUAGAUCCUAAAUUUAAAGCUUCAUAGAAGCUUAUUAUAUUUCAAGACCUUCUUUUUAGAGUAUGAAUUUUAGAGUACUAUAUGCAUCUGGAACAAACUUUAAGAGUCUGUGGAGGUCUGCAGGUUUCUUGUCAGAUCAUUGUGAACUGUAUUUUCCCUCUUUUUGGAAGUGUCCAUGACAAAGAAUUUUACUCACUCUGGCCAUGCCUCCUAUAAUUUUUCAGACAUCUGCUCCCAGCACAACUGUUUAACACUGUGGGGUAGAAGUGUUUUCCUUCUUUCUUUAACAGAGACCUGUUAACCUGUUAGAGAUGAUCUUUUAGCUGAGCAUUUGUACAAAUUUAUUUGCCACGUCUCAUUUGUGUGCCUUUUGUGACAUUUUCUGGCACAAGUAUUGGAAAGGGGAGAGAAAUGGAAAGCUUCUUAGAAUUGAAGUGCCUGAUGGUCAGAUGGUAGAAUUGUGAUCCCCUUUCAUGCAGCUGGAUUGUCAGAAAUUUACUGUGACUUUUCUUUCAGAUUUUGCAGCAGGAUUAAAAUACAACGGAUCAGGGAGAGAUUCAGGUGAUGCAUUGCUGAUGAAUGGGAAAGUCCCAGGUGUGUAGUACCCUAUUUUUCCCCUUCCAGUUCAAAGCAAACCCAUGUGACACAUGGCUUGCUUAAGGAAUGCAGCUAAGCAUUCACAUUUUUCUCUUGAAUGUGCAUUUCGAUUUAGGAAUUGCUUGCAUGACAGCUCUGGUGAGGAGACUCCUGAGAUAGCACAGUGGGUUUUCCUCUCUCCUUGAUCUGCCCCACAGCACAGUCCAGACUGUCGGGCUUCUUGUCUCUCAGAAUCAUCCUUGGAGAGCAGUGAAUGACAAGAAGACAGGGAUGUUUACAGGCUAGCAGUUUCCUCUUGUGAUCCAGCAAGGUGUGCUGCUUUAUGGAGAUGACAAAUACAUUACAGCUGUUGAUAAGGAUGUCCAUUAGCUGAUGUUAGAAAACACCAGAAAUUUGCCAAAGAAGGGAAGUGGCCAUUUUUCAAGCAAGGUGAACCAACAAUAGAUAAAGAUAGGAGAAAUAAUUCUGUGUUUUAGUCAGAAUGGAUGGCUUCAGCCAUGAAUAGCAGGACAGAACUACAGGAGCAUUGCAGCAAAGUGAAAUAGUGCCUUUCCGUUCCAUGGCUCUGUGUUGGAGACACCUGACAGAGGGGAGCUGGUUUGCAUGUAAUCACUCAGCCUGUGACAGGGCCCUUCAAUGUCGAUGCUGAAGCAGUCAUUGCAUGGCUCUGUCCUCAGCUCUACUGCAGAUCAAUGACUCUGCAGGUCAGUUGACUUGACCUGUGUCAAGUAAGGACACAGACUGUCAUGAGUGAGUAUGAUUUGACAUCUGCUACUUCAGAGAAUUUUUUCUUAAUGUUGUCAUGAACUCUGCCUUAGCUUUUGAGGAAAAAGUGUUAUGGGCAAGGUAUCUCACACUGCUGUACACGAUAAUAUAUAUGAGUAUUAGAAAGCUUGCUGAGGGUGUCUUAGAGAUGUUUAUGUACUGAAAGGUAGCAAUUGGUGUGAUUUGGCUGUGAAAUCACUGUAACCUUCCUUUUAUUUUUCUCAGUCCAUUUACAGUGAUGGAAACAAACUUUUGCUUUGAUUUUUACUAGAUCACUCUUUUUCCUGAAAAUAUUUGAGUGGUGAAGCAACUCUCAACACAUCACAACUCACAUUCCUCAAGAAAAAUAUGUCUGAAUUAAAGUUUAAUUCAGAUCCAGAAUGCAAAACCCUUGAAUAUUUGUGAUGCAGAAGCUUCAAAAAGUGCAAAACUCACCCAACAGUGAGUUGUCAGGCAUCAGAGAGGUCUAAGGAACAUUCUGGGAAUCUUUCAUUGUCCUCAGUUUUUGACAUUGCAUUUGUUACUACGGAACUGUUUGGUCAUAGAGAAAUACUUCUCCAUGGAAUUUAGCCUGCAGCAAGGAGUGCCAGUUCACAUUCUCGUAGUUACUGGAAGUGAAGCUUCAUAGACAUGUUAAAAUAUUUGACAGGAAGAAGAUUUGAUAGAAGGAUACACCUUCCUGUACUGAUGCUGUCACAGUCCAUAUGCCAAUAGCAGUAACAACCUCAGCUUCCCUACUAGUGGAUGGAGCAACAGAAGGGUAGCUAAUACAAUUUGACAUUCAGGCUGAGAAACUUCAGCAUCUGCUGCAAAAACUGGCUCACAUAUUUUGAAGAGGUUCAGCAGAGGUUCUCCCCCCUCUCCCUGUCUGAGGGGGUUAUAUAAAAGACUUCUUAAUAUUAAAAUUAUUCCUUUUUUCUAUGUGUUCUUUAAAAUAAAGCCUCUGGGACUGUUAAUAUCUCUGAUGUUAUAGCUUUGAAGACUGCAUGAAAUGAUUUUAAAGGAAAAGCUUUUAAAGGACUCGUCCAUUUCUAACAUUGGCUAUCAAUCUAGUUUGCGGCUCUAGAGUGGAAACUUUGAUAUAACACAAGUUAAAGGCAAAAGAUUUUACAUGACAGUUUGAAAAGAUGCAUAUUUCUAAGCACUGAACUUUCAUUUGUUAGGAUUUCAUUUAGUGCAGCAUGCUCUCUAAAACUGCAGCUGUCUCACUGCAUUUGGCUGCAGAUUGUAGAGGGUAAAAGAUCUUCUUUCUUUUAUGUAGCUAAUGCAGUAACAAAAAAAAAAAAAAAAAAAAGAGAGUUAAUUCUACCUAGUGAGAAGUCCACAAGAUUUUCAGCACAUUAGCUGCUAUGUCAGCCUAGAAGAGAAACUUCUAGGCACAUUAAGCAAUAUAUUUUUUUUAAUAUUGCAAAAAAUGCAAAAGGUGUUUAAAUUUACUUUAGUCUUUAGGGACUAACUUAUGUGUUGCUCUGUGGAAGAUUUUAGGGGAGGAAGCAUCCUGUUUUGGAACAUGGUUUCUUCAUUUUAAUUUCUUAGAAUUCACAACAUUCUUAUACUUUGAAUGAUAAGAUUUUUUUCUCAAUAUUUACAAAAAAAAAGAAAAGAAAAAAAGGAACAUGGGAUAAAUGAAAUGUGAACACUAGGUGUGGUUUGUGGCACUUUUAUGUUGUACAUGAGAAAGAUCAAUUGAUGCUAAAAAGAGAGGAAUCGGUCAGGUAAGAGGUGCUGAUCUGACUGAGGGGACACAUACCUCUGGGAAAGAAAAUUUGAACUUUUGUUAUGAGAUCCUGGAAUUCUCAUGUCCUGUAAACUUACUUGAGGUAUACUUGCAGAAGGGGAAUUUUCACCCUCAUUUUAAGGCAGUGCAUUGAUCUUCAUUCUAAGGAACAUUUUAGAAUGAAAGGGGGAAAAGUUUAUUCUUUGACAAAUAACAGAUUCCAGUAUAAAAUAAUUUAAUUCAAUCUAUUUUAUUCCACCAUCUAUAAUUGCAUUCCACAUCUCAGUUGCUCCAAGGUUAUUAUAGCAGCAUGAGUGCCAUCACCACAGAAGGAUUACAUAAUGGAUUUCUUACUUCCAGACCAAUAUGAAUCUUCUGGUAUUGUUGAACUAAACAGGGUGCUCUUCCAGCAUCUUUUCUGUCCUUCCUCACCACUUCUUUAAUUUUUUCUUUAUUUACUCUUCACCAUAGAUGAUAACGUUGAAGUACUUCUUUACCUUAGAGACAUUUUUGGGGGUUUAAAUUGCAUUAUUCUAAAGAAAGAAUUAUGACUUAAGUUGACUACAACUUUCUAAGUGGAAAGGAUAUUAUAACAUGAAAUCCAUAUCUCUAUAUCUUUAUAUCUACACAGCUGUACAGCUGUCACUUAUGUCUCUUAUAUUCUCUUUGGUCUGAAAUUAUAUUUUGUGUUUGUGACACUACAUAUGUUUAGAUUACUUAUCUCCUUCAAUGUCUUUGUAUCAUAUCUGCCAUUUUCAUAGUCCUUUAGACUCUUUCCUUUUUUUUUACAAUACGCUCUUUUUUUUUUUGCCUUUGUAACAUCAUGUACAAGGAAGGCUAUAUACCUAUGAGAUGUGACAAUUAAUGCAUUACAAAUAUCCACACUGACUUAACAAGUUUUCUGGUUUCACACCAGAAGCAUAAAGUACAUUCAAGGUCAAGUAGACUAGAGCUCUGACAAACCUGAUCUAGUUGAAGAUGUCUCUGAUUAUAGCAGGGUGUUGGAUCAGAUGACCUUUAAAGGUCACUUUUAACCCAAACUAUUCUAUGAUUCUAUAAAUCUGAUUCUAUAACAUUUGAGCCAUUAUUCAAAUCUUGCUAGGAAAAGAUAUUAAUAUGGAUGAUACUGUAACCACUCUUUUAGAAAACAAGCAGUUAAAAUACAGUCUAUUGCCAUUAUUACAUCUGUUAAUAUUUGAUCUGCUUCACUGAUUUAUAUUUGUGUAAUAUAGAAUUAUAAAAUCUCUACCUUGCAUGAAUUGCCAAAGAAGUACUAUCCAGCAAGUCAAAUAAGGUGUACGAGAGCACCUAAAAAGUAUGUAUUUCUUAGCUGAACUUGUAAUUCCUUGUCCAAGUUUACAUCUGGUCUAACGUUGUGAUUUAAAACAACAACAUUUAUUUCGAAACAUGUACUGCAAAAUCCUUACCUUUAAAAAGAGAGCUGAGUCUUUACCCUUCCCCAAAUGCAAACCUGGAUGCAUUUAUGAAUGAGAUGGGAAAAUUUGAGAGAACAAUAAAGGCCAAUGAAACAAUAAAAAUCUCCCGUUCUCUUCCAGUUACUGGGAUGAGCCUUUCUGAUGAACGGACCAGCAGUGUUUGCAAUGCCCUAUGGGGUCCUGAUCUAAACCCUCCCCUUACAUGUCCCUGGUUUAAGCCAGAGAAUGGUCACAUCCAUCCCUGUCCUAGCAUAUCACAAAAGUCACACAGAGAAGGGGAAAUCGGGAAGGCCUCACAGCCCUGUGAUGUCCAUCCAAACGUGCAUCUGCAGACAGCCAUGAAUGGGGUUGUUGGGUGUGUUUGGCAGGUGAUGGAUGCCUGUCCCAGGACAAAAGGCAGGCAUCCUGGCAGGUUUAAUUACCCAAAAGGCCCAGUGCUGAUAGAGUAUCUCUCAGUGUGAGGAAAACCAAAGAGGAGAGCUCAGACAAAUUAGCAGGGCAGAGUAGUAAAGAAUGCUGUCACAUGUAAGAGGCAUUGAAAUAAUGUUUUUAUGGUGGUGAUUAGCUCAAUGGCCUUGUAGCUCUUGCACAGAAUGAGCACAACAAAGCAGGGAAGGGGCGUUUCUCUGGCUCUUCUCUCCCCUUGCCUCCAGGAGCCAGCCACUGUCUGGUGCAGCCCUUGCAGUGUUGAUUUGAUUCAUGGCAUCCAGCAUGUCACCUAGGAUUUAUGCUGCGUCAAGGGAGCCGUAAUCCUCUGUUUAAAGUGCUUGUGAAGAAAGGCUUCAUGUAAGUCAGGCACUCUGUUGCAUUAGAGAAUGUUUAUUGCUACUCUGAUGGAGUACUUUCAGGUAUCAUAACUUUUGUCAGACGUGAGCUCUGAGCAGGGAGGCAUAAAUAUCCAGGAGAAGGCUGUUCCUGCUGAACAGGCUGUUCCUGCUGAAUCCUCUUCAGCAGGAUUUGGCAGCACGUGUGCAUAGCAUUGGUGGGCAUCCUCUCCCCCAGGACUUCUGGGGUGAUAUAAGGAUACAGAAAGAUUUGCCAACAUGAGUGUUCAUCUCAGCACAUCAUUUGAAAAGAUGCAGGAAGGAAAAGGAGGAAGAUGGGGAAGACUUGCCCGGCUGUAGAAGUUUUAGGAGGAUGGAGAUGCUGAUCUAACCUUGUGUUGUUGUUCCUGGCAGUUGCUUCAGCAGACCCAGAUCCUGACUAUUCACCUAGAAAAACCCAAUUUACAGUCAAUACUGAGGAGGCCAUACUUCAGAGAUUAAGAAGGGCUUUUUUUUCUCACCUCUGCAUGUAUUAAAGUCAUGUGAGACUGAGCAAAGAGCAGAAAUAGAAUAUAUAACCUGUCUCUCAAUACUGAAUAAUUCACAUGAUUUAUUUAGCAUCUGCUUUGCCAAGUCAGAAAACAACACAUUAUUACUCUUUUUUUAAUCUGAAAUAGGGGUGCUUGCCAUGCUAUCUCAGAGCAGCCAUGCAGUGUGCACCAAAUAUAACAAGACCUAUUUUUCCAGAUGUGUUCAGCUUAACAUGAAACAGAGACUGGCUCUUUGUUUUCCUAAUGUGCUGGUGUACGCUUUGCUUUCCAAGGGGGAAUGGACUUGGAGCCAGGCUAGUUACUCACCCAUAGAUGGAGCAGGGUUAAUGUUAAAA